UACCCAGCAAUUCCUAUCCCUACCUCCACGCGGUACCGGCGGGAAACUAUGAGCAACCUUAGGAAAGAUCGGGUAACCAACCCCGGUGGGAACUUUGGUCGUAGGCUGACAUGGAAGG
rnacentral:ribozyme from 1 species